rnacentral:rRNA from 1 species
AUUGAACGCUGGCGGCAGGCUUAACACAUGCAAGUCGAGCGGGCGAGGUUGCUUCGGUAACUGAGCUAGCGGCGGACGGGUGAGUAAUGCUUAGGAAUCUGCCUAUUAGUGGGGGACAACAUUCCGAAAGGAAUGCUAAUACCGCAUACGCCCUACGGGGGAAAGCAGGGGAUCUUCGGACCUUGCGCUAAUAGAUGAGUCUAAGUCAGAUUAGCUAGUUGGUGGGGUAAAGGCCUACCAAGGCGACGAUCUGUAGCGGGUCUGAGAGGAUGAUCCGCCACACUGGGACUGAAACACGGCCCAGACUCCUACGGGAGGCAGCAGUGGGGAAUAUUGGACAAUGGGCGAAAGCCUGAUCCAGCCACGCCGCGUGUGUGAAGAAGGCCUUUUGGUUGUAAAGCACUUUAAGCGAGGAGGAGGCUACUUGGAUUAAUACUCUAGGAUAGUGGACGUUACUCGCAGAAUAAGCACCGGCUAACUCUGUGCCAGCCGCCGCCGUAA